CGAACCGACUACCUUUGAAAAGUUAGCGGAUGACCUGUGGAUCGGAGUGAAAGGCUAAUCAAGCUCGGAGAUAGCUGGUUCUCCUCGAAAGCUAUUUAGGUAGCGCCUCAUGUAUCACUGUAGGGGGUAGAGCACUGUUUCGGCUAGGGGGUCAUCCCGACUUACCAACCCUUUGCAAACUCCGAAUACCGAUGAGUACUAUCCGGGAGACACACGGCG
rnacentral:rRNA from 9 species